rnacentral:rRNA from 1 species
GAUGAACGCUGGCGGCGUGCCUAAUACAUGCAAGUCGAGCGAACAGACGAGGAGCUUGCUCCUCUGACGUUAGCGGCGGACGGGUGAGUAACACGUGGAUAACCUACCUAUAAGACUGGGAUAACUUCGGGAAACCGGAGCUAAUACCGGAUAAUAUAUUGAACCGCAUGGUUCAAUAGUGAAAGACGGUUUUGCUGUCACUUAUAGAUGGAUCCGCGCCGCAUUAGCUAGUUGGUAAGGUAACGGCUUACCAAGGCAACGAUGCGUAGCCGACCUGAGAGGGUGAUCGGCCACACUGGAACUGAGACACGGUCCAGACUCCUACGGGAGGCAGCAGUAGGGAAUCUUCCGCAAUGGGCGAAAGCUUGACGGAGCAACGCCGCGUGAGUGAUGAAGGUCUUCGGAUCGUAAAACUCUGUUAUUAGGGAAGAACAAAUGUGUAAGUAACUAUGCACGUGUUGACGGUACCUAAUCAGAAAGCCACGGCUAACUACGUG